rnacentral:lncRNA from 1 species
UAGCUUAUGUCUCCCUUAUGGCUGUUAGUUAUGGUAGUUACUGUAUGAUAUUAUUGCAUGCGAUUUUAUUUAUGUUUCUUAUGUUUAGAUAUUUAUUUAUGCUAUUUCUGCUGGAGUUACUAAUGCUCUAUUGUUUUUGUCUUUGUUUUUGUUUUAUUGUUGUUUUUCCUUUCAUCCUAUGAGCCGAGGGUCGAUUAGAAACAGCCUCUCUGCCCUUUCGGGUUGGGGUAAGGCUCGUCUACAUAUUACCCUCCCCAGACCCCACCUGGUGGGAUUAUACUGAGUAGUUGUUGUUGUUGUUGCUGCUUUCCAGGCUUCCUGUUAUGUAUUGUAUAUGAAUAUAGAUACAAUGUAGUCUCAUGUCACUGAUUUGGACAACGCAAAAAGAGCCAUAACAGAGAAGGCGGAGCUCAUAUUGCUAUUGUGAGUCAACACAAUUCAACAAUGAAGGAUUGAACCUUGAAGUGUCUGUAGAUUCUGUAAUAGAGAGGUCUAAGACAAUUGUGAAAUCUGGAGAUAAAAUUAACUUGAAGAGAAAGUACAACUUUUUGUUGUAGUCUAGCUUUGUAUGUGUGGUUGAUUUUGGACUGAUGCUAUACUUUAUUGUCUACUACAGACACAGUAAGUAAUAUUUUUUCUCAUAUUUUAAUUAUUUGAAUAUUUGUAUUAGGAUGUUGUGUCACAAGAAUUAAGCUCUCUAACUGGUUUUUUCUAUUUGUGUACGGUUACUAAGUGUAAAUGAGCUAUCAGCAAAAGUGAAUGGAAUGAGUACCUCAAGAAUGUGGUUUGCUUUUGAGUUUUGAACACUAAGUAUAUUUGAGUAAUUUAAAUUAGUCUUAAAGUUUAGGUUUAUUAUGUAUGAUAUGGUACUUAUUUUAUUGUGCUUAGUCAGUUGUGUUUUACUAAGAUACUUUUUAAAGAAUCUCUUUUGACAAUGAGUUUGCUCAAAAAUUUAGGCAAUGACAUCCUUUUAUCUUUAGUUCCAAGUGGCUUGUCAUUCCCUAAAUUUCUGGCAAAACCCAUUGUCAAAAGAGAUUCUAUCAAAAGUAUCUUAGCAAAAUACAAUUGGCUAAGCACAACAAAAUAAGUACCAUUAUACAUAGUAAACCUAGACUAUAGGACUAAUUAAAAUUACUCAAAUAUACUUAGUGUUCAAGACUCAAAAGCAGACCACAUACUUUAGGUAUUCAUCACAUUCACUUUUGCUGAUACCUUAUCUGAACCCACUUUUAGUAGCUGUACACAAAUAGGAAAAAUCAGUUAGAGAGCUUCUUGUAACACAACAUCUUAAUACAAACUAUUAAAGUAUGAGAAAAAAUAUUUCUUACUGUGUGUCUGUAAUAGGCAAUAAAGCAUAACAUCACUCCAUAAGCAACCGCACAACCAAAGCUAUACCAAACAAAAAAGUUUUAGUUUCUUUUCAAGUUAAUUUUGUCUCCAUAUUUCACAAUUAUCCUAGAUCUCUCUAUCACAGAAUCUACAAACAAUUCAAUGUCCAAUUCUUCAUCAGUGAAUUGUGUUUACUCUCAUUGCAAUAUGAGCUCCGCUUUCUCUGAUAUGACUCCUUUUGCGUUGUCCAAAUCAGUGAUACGAGUUUGCAUUGUAUCUAUAUUCAUAUACAAUACAUAACAUGCAGCAUAGAAAGCAACAACAAACAUAGCAACUGUCAACCCAACAAAUACAGGAACAGAAUCACAAGGGAUCACUGGAUUAUUAAGAAGUAUCUCUCCUUCAUACAACGUGAACGCAAAGCCAACAUUGCCUCUAAAUAAGAAAAUUUAGUCAAUAACAUCCUCCUUGCUUUCUCUAAUGUUCUUUUUCUCUAACAAGAAGUUAUCGGUAUUAUUACACUUUUGCUGCUUAUCAUAUCUUGAUAACAUAGAAUAGGAGGGAGACACAAGAGACUUAUAUUCAAUGAUCCGUGUCUUGUCUCCUUAAAAUUGUUACAACCGCCCCUCCCUUUUCUCUUUGAUAAAUGUAAUCAUUUUGUUGUCCAUUUAUGUACCUUUCGUAUUCUGCCUUGUAUUUUCUCCUAUUAUUAUAUAUAAA